AGAGUUUGAUCAUGGCUCAGAACGAACGCUGGCGGCGUGGAUAAGACAUGCAAGUCGAACGAGAUUUUCUUUGGUAGCAAUACCGAAGAAAGUCUAGUGGCGAACGGGUGCGUAACACGUGGGCAAUCUGCCUUAAAGUGGGGGAUAGCUCGGCGAAAGCCGAAUUAAUACCGCAUGUGAUCAGGGGAGACAUCUUUCCGAAAUCAAAAGUGGCGCAAGCUACUGCUUUUUGAGGAGCCCGCGGCCUAUCAGCUAGUUGGUGAGGUAAUGGCUCACCAAGGCUCUGACGGGUAGCUGGUCUGAGAGGACGACCAGUCACACUGGAACUGAGACACGGUCCAGACACCUACGGGUGGCAGCAGUCGAGAAUUUUUCUCAAUGGGGGAAACCCUGAAGGAGCGACGCCGCGUGGAGGAUGAAGGUCUUCGGGUUGUAAACUCCUGUCAUUUGGGAACAAGUGCCGGUACCUAACUGCUACCGGCUUGAUAGUACCAGAAGAGGAAGGACGGCUAACUCUGUGCCAGCAGCCGCGGUA
rnacentral:rRNA from 1 species